AGUAAAGUCAGCUAAUUAAGCUUUCGGGCCCAUACCCCGAAAAUGUUGGUACCCAACCCUUCCUAUACUA
rnacentral:tRNA from 1 species